UGAGCAAGGAUUGGUUUAUUGGCAUUGUGCUACAGUCAAGGCACUCUUUUAUGCCAAACAUUCCUUGCAACACUGGCCCAGUAAAGAUGGGCAGUCUUUUAUUUCAUUCCAAACAUCAAAAACUCCGACAAAUCAUCUUCCCAAAGUGA
rfam:Vitis vinifera, whole genome shotgun sequence of line PN40024, unoriented chromosome 8, chr8